UAACUGAAGAGUUUGAUCAUGGCUCAGAUUGAACGCUGGCGGCAGGCUUAACACAUGCAAGUCGAGCGGGGGAAGGUAGCUUGCUACCGGACCUAGCGGCGGACGGGUGAGUAAUGCUUAGGAAUCUGCCUAUUAGUGGGGGACAACAUCUCGAAAGGGAUGCUAAUACCGCAUACGUCCUACGGGAGAAAGCAGGGGAUCUUCGGACCUUGCGCUA
rnacentral:rRNA from 1 species